GGAAAGCUGGUGAAAUGGUAGCCACGCAUCACUGCUAAUGAUGAGUCCGCAAGGGCAUGAAGGUUCAAGUCCUUCGCUUUCCG
rnacentral:tRNA from 1 species